rnacentral:rRNA from 1 species
GAUGAACGCCGGCGGUGUGCCUAAUACAUGCAAGUCGAACGCGUUGGCCCAACUGAUUGAACGUGCUUGCACGGACUUGACGUUGGUUUACCAGCGAGUGGCGGACGGGUGAGUAACACGUAGGUAACCUGCCCCAAAGCGGGGAUAACAUUUGGAAACAGAUGCUAAUACCGCAUAACAAUUUGAAUCGCAUGAUUCAAAUUUAAAAGAUGGCUUCGGCUAUCACUUUGGGAUGGACCUGCGGCGCAUUAGCUUGUUGGUAGGGUAACGGCCUACCAAGGCUGUGAUGCGUAGCCGAGUUGAGAGACUGAUCGGCCACAAUGGAACUGAGACACGGUCCAUACUCCUACGGGAGGCAGCAGUAGGGAAUCUUCCACAAUGGGCGCAAGCCUGAUGGAGCAACACCGCGUGAGUGAAGAAGGGUUUCGGCUCGUAAAGCUCUGUUGUUAGAGAAGAACGUGCGUGAGAGCAACUGUUCACGCAGUGACGGUAUCUAACCAGAAAGUCACGGCUAACUACGUGCCAGCAGCCGCCGUAAGAC